AUUGAACGCUGGCGAUAGGCCUUACACAUGCAAGUCGAACGGCAGCACGGUUACUGGCUCCUGGUACGGGUUGGCGGACGGGGGCGUGUUAGAUCGAAACCUGUCCUUGAUUGUUGGAUAGCGCGGCCAAAGGGGGAUUAAUACUGCAUACGAUCUACGGAUGAAAGUGGAGGCCCGUCGUGUUUCGCCCUCUCGGGUUGGCCGAUGGCUGAGUAGCUAGUUGGUGGGGUAAAGGCCUACCAAGGCGACGAUCAGUAGCUGGUCUGAGAGGACGACCAGCCACACUGGGACUGAGACACGGCCCAGACUCCUACGGGAGGCAGCAGUGGGGAAUUUUGGACAAUGGGCGAAAGCCUGAUCCAGCAAUGCCGCGUGUGUGAAGAAGGCCUUCGGGUUGUAAAGCACUUUUGUCCGGAAAGAAAUCCUUGGCCCUAAUACGGUCGGGGGAUGACGGUACCGGAAGAAUAAGCACCGGCUAACUACGUG
rnacentral:rRNA from 1 species